CCUACGGGAGGCAGCAGUGAGGAAUAUUGGUCAAUGGGCGAGAGCCUGAACCAGCCAAGUCGCGUGAGGGAGUACUGCCCUAUGGGUUGUAAACCUCUUUUGUCGGGGAGCAAAAGCCGGACGUGUCCGGCUGUGAGAGUACCCAAGGAAUAAGCCCCGGCUAACUACGUGCCAGCAGCCGCGGUAAUACGUAGGGGGCAAGCGUUGUUCGGAAUGACUGGGCGUAAAGGGUGUGUAGGCGGUGUAGCAAGUUAGAAGUGAAAUACCUAGAGCUUAACUCAGGUGCUGCUUCUAAAACUGCUAUACUUGAGUGCAGUAGAGGAAAGUGGAAUUCCUAGUGUAGCGGUGGAAUGCGUAGAUAUUAGGAGGAACAUCAGUGGCGAAGGCGACUUUCUGGACUGUAACUGACGCUGAGGCACGAAAGUGUGGGGAGCAAACAGGAUUAGAUACCCCGGUAGUC
rnacentral:rRNA from 1 species